GUAUACAAAUAAAUACCAAAUAAAAUGUCCAAAAUUACAGACUAAAAUCAAACUUAAACUCGAAUGGCCCAAUUACAGUAGCCCGAUACCCCGGCCCAAUUACAUUGAAGCCCAAAACAGAAAAGGAACCAGAAACCCUAGCAGUUAGGGCGAGCCUCCAGCGCUGCAGCCAUCAGGGCAUUCCCUCAGCCUCACGCGCGCCUCCGUACGUGCCACGUCCACCCUCCAUAUGUCGUACCUGCAGAAAGGGCAAACAAACGCAACAAGGCAGAGAAAGCAAA
rnacentral:lncRNA from 1 species